AUUGAACGCUGGCGGCAUGCCUUACACAUGCAAGUCGAACGGUAACGCGGGGCAACCUGGCGACGAGUGGCGAACGGGUGAGUAAUGCAUCGGAACGUGCCCAGUUGUGGGGGAUAACUGCUCGAAAGAGCAGCUAAUACCGCAUACGACCUGAGGGUGAAAGCGGGGGAUCGCAAGACCUCGUGCAAUUGGAGCGGCCGGUGUCGGAUUAGCUAGUUGGUGGGGUAAAGGCCCACCAAGGCGACGAUCCGUAGCUGGUCUGAGAGGACGACCAGCCACACUGGGACUGAGACACGGCCCAGACUCCUACGGGAGGCAGCAGUGGGGAAUUUUGGACAAUGGACGCAAGUCUGAUCCAGCCAUGCCGCGUGCGGGAAGAAGGCCUUCGGGUUGCAAACCGCUUUUGUCAGGGAAGAAAUCUUCUGGGUUAAUACCUCGGGAGGAUGACGGUACCUGAAGAAUAAGCACCGGCUAACUACGUGCCAGCCGCCGCAGUAAGAC
rnacentral:rRNA from 1 species